UGGGGAAUAUUGCACAAUGGGCGAAAGCCUGAUGCAGCAACGCCGCGUGCGGGAUGACGGCCUUCGGGUUGUAACCGCUUUCAGCUCCGACGAAGCGCAAGUGACGGUAGGAGCAGAAGAAGGACCGGCCAACUACGUGCCAGCAGCCGCGGUGAUACGUAGGGUCCGAGCGUUGUCCGGAAUUAUUGGGCGUAAAGGGCUUGUAGGCGGUUUGUCGCGUCGGAAGUGAAACUCAGGGCUUAACCCUGAGCCUGCUUCCGAUACGGGCAAACUAGAGGAAUGCAGGGGAGAAUGGAAUUCCUGGUGGAGCGGUGGAAUGCGCAGAUAUCAGGAGGAACACCAGUGGCGAAGGCGGUUCUCUGGGCAUUUCCUGACGCUGAGAAGCGAAAGCGUGGGGAGCGAAACAGGCUUAGAUACCCUGGUAGUCCACGCCGUAAACGGUGGGCACUAGGUGUGGGACUCAUUCCACGAGUUCCGUGCCGUAGCUAACGC
rnacentral:rRNA from 1 species